rnacentral:lncRNA from 1 species
AUGGAGGCCAAGCAGCAGUGCCUCACAAGGGAACCCAAUGCCCCGUACCAGCCGCAGUACAGUUGGCAGCCCUCCUGCAGCAGCAGUGCACCGUGGCUUAGUGAGUGUGUACAGAUUCCUGCUUCCUCCUUUCCCAGCCCAGUGUUUUUACUCCUCUGCAAUGGACAAGGUGGACCUGGCCUGCAUGCAGCUGUCUGUAUCCCCAGGGAUGUGACAUUAACUGAGGCUGGGAACUGCCCUGGCUGCAUCCCUUUCCUCCUGCUGUGGAGAUAUUCCCUGGGGGAGCAUAUGAGUACUUGUCAUAAGAGCAUCGUGUCGGGCUUCUCCUCUACUCCUGUGUCCUGCAAAGGGCUGAGAAAUGCAGGAGUCUGCAGCCUCAGCAGGAGGGCAACCAAGCUGAGCUCCAUGUUUUCCAGCAGCAGGGUCUGUUAGAAAGCAGCCUGUGUUGGUGGGGCAGUGUCUUCCUCUGCAAAGCCCUUUGACAUACCCUGUAUUCCUCGUCCCCAGCAGGAUGGGGAAAGCUGUGCUUCCAGAGCUGAGUUGGAGGCAGCAGAGCCCUGCAGCCACAGUGAGCACAGCUGAGUGGGUGGAGUGUGGCACGCUGAGGGAAUUGCCCUUGUUAUUCCAACACAAGUGAAGGCAGAAAUUCAGUUUCUGGUGAUGUCCUGAACUCUGCCUCCGGUGUCACCAGCACUCUAGUGCUGCCAAAACAAACACGGGCGCCUGACCAAAGAAAGUAAACCAAAGCCCUCCCAGCAGCAGCCACAGGCACACACUCAGCUUCACACUAGCACCUUCCUUUAGACCUUGGUAUCCUGAUAUCUGCUUUAUUUAGGCAAGAAACACAGAUAAACAGUUGUACGGCAGAGCAGCCAGCUAGCGCUGCCACUCAGCACAAAUGGAGGUGAGGCAGUGCAGACAGCAUUGCUGGGUACUCAGCAGGGCUGGCCUUGAUUCCCAAGCGAACACCUGGACAGACUGCAUUGAGGGAGGCAGCAAUGUCUCUAUCCUGUGGCUAAAUUGUGAAGCAGCAGCUUUCACGUGUGCACUGCCUGGCCAGCAUCCACCUGGGCUCCUGUGCUCUUGGCAGAUGUGUUAAGCAGAUAGAGCUGAUGUCUUCCCAAAAUGACUCCAUGGGCAGCAGAGCUGCAUGAAAAGAGAUGCUUAUCUGGACUUUGGAAACAUCUUCCUAUGAGGUCAUCUUCUUUUCUCUUUCUUCUCUUUUUAACUUUUCCUUCAUGGGGGUAAGGCCACAGCAUGAUCUGCUUGAAACUGCCAGCAGAUCCCAGACAGAAGAUGGAGGAAAAGGGAAGAACAGGCAGUGAAGUGUAUUUGAUGGAGCAGGUCUUUUUGAAGAGCCCGGGUGUCCCUCCUCCGCAGUCCUUUCCCACGAGUGAGGCUGAGAACAGUCGUGAGCAUGGUGGUAGAGAAGGAAAAAGGGCUGUGGAGGCAGUACACCUCCAGGGAGUGGUUUCUGCCUGUCUCCUCACAGGGGUGCUCAGCUUUGGGUGUUCAGUGCAGGAACAGCUUCUCUGAGUUUAGCUGCAGACCAAGCCAGUAGGGAUGGGAUUCUUCAGGUAUCAUUUUGCAGAGUUGGUUUUGCAGACACCUUUCACACCUACUGCCUCUUCUGGUAUGCUAGAACAGAAAUGAGAGUUGGACAUGGCCCCUUGGUACCAGCAGCCAUACCAACAGCCUGACAGUUAGCUGUGGGACUGCAUGCUCUCUUCUCUGUGCCAGCAGAAGGUAUCCCCAGGGCUACUAACACUCUUCCUACCCCAACCUUUGCUCUGGUCUGCCCCGAACUCAGUGACCCUUCAGCCCUUCCAGCUUUCCUUUAAUAUUCAUCUCUUGCAGGGCAGUUGCUGAGUGACUCCCACAACAUGCCACGCUGUGAAAGCUCAGGUCAGGGAAGCUUUGACCCUGUCCCCAGCCAUCAGGAGCACAGCAGGCAGAGGAGGACCAAGCCUCUGUGACUGUGCAGGUGGCAGAUUUUGAGCCUUCAGAGCAGGGUGCUUGAGGAGCUAAAUUCAAAUAUACCUCCAAGACUAUGUCAGUCCUGUUCCUUGAGUGGUCUCCUCGAACAAGGCUGGUGCCGUCUCAGCCCCGGCACAAGAGGAUCCCUGUCUAGGGAGCAGGGACACUCAGCACCCCUGGUGAAAAAGACAUCCCAGCGAUCCCUGGACACAACGUGCUUGGUUCAGUGAUGCUGCUCGGCUGACAGCUCACCUGGCUGCUCUGCCUAGAAGCAGAGAGGGAGCCUGUCACUGUCACAGCCCCAGCAGUGUAUCUAAGGCAGGGUUUAUCUGCAGGGAGAGGGUCACCUGCUGGGUUGUGUUUCAGCAUCACACUACAUUUUGGUCUCUCUUUCCCUUUCUCUGUAGCACACUCCUGGUAGAAAGGAUUUGACACCAGGCGAUAAUCUGAAACUGGAGACACAAGGUGCCGGUGCAGCUCUAGUUACAGAUAUUAUGCCAAAGCCUUCACUCUUACUGAUCAUGAGCAUGUCACCCCGCGGUAUUUCUUUCUUUAUUUGUUUUUUUGUUUGCUUACAUAAUUAAUGCAGUGAAAUGAAAACACUGUCCAUAUAACUGUGAGGAUGUCAGAUGUUCAAACAUGACUAUCCCAUUCUAAGGUGACAGAUAUGUGAGGUAGUCUUCAUUUUUAAGUAUUCGAGUCUUGAAAAUGAUGUAGUUACACUCAUCUAUUUGGGGUUACUGUGAUUACUGGCCAUCAUCUCUUUCUGAACCCGAGGCUUCCCUGAGGUCAAAGUAGAAAUAUUCAGCAACGGCCUGAACCACACAGAUGUUGCAGAUCUGCUUGACAGUGUUUACUAUUUGCAGGAUUGCUUUAAAUAAAUAAUGCUUUCAAACUGAGAGUGGGUCGCCU